UUUCAAAUCCUCAAGCUCUGCUUGGUAUUGGACGGUUAGUCUGCUAAUAACGGACUCGUCAGAAAGACCUCGGCGGCGGUUCAGAAGCCUCAAGCGUACCAGAAAUAACUCGCUUUGUUAGGCCUUUUGAAUUGCUCGCUCCCAGAAAACCUCACUUCAAGGUUGACCUCGGAUCAGGUAGGGAUACCCGCUGAACUUAA
rnacentral:misc_RNA from 1 species